rnacentral:rRNA from 1 species
UCAUACGUAGGAUCCGAGCGUUAUCCGGAGUGACUGGGCGUAAAGAGUUGCGUAGGGGGUUUGUUAAGCAAAUAGUGAAAUCGAGUGGCUCAACCAUUCGGCUAUUAUUUGAACUGGCAAACUUGAGAAUAUGAGAGGUAGAUGGAAUUCCCAGUGUAGGAGUAAAAUCCAUAGAUAUUGGGAGGAACACCAAUGGCGUAGGCAGUCUACUGGCAUAUUUCUGACCCUGAGGCACGAAAGCGUGGGGAGCGAACCGGAUUAGAUACCCGGGUAGUCCACGCCGUAAACUAUGGAUGCUAGCUGUUGGCCGUAUCGACCCGGUCAGUAGCACAGCUAACGCGUUAAGCAUCCCGCCUGGGGAGUACGGUCGCAAGAUUA